GCUUGAGCCCGCUUGCCCAACUCCUGAGAUGUCAUCGGGAAGCUGCUGAUCAGCAAUUACAGAACCAGUGGCUUUGGUUGGGCACUGGAAGUACAUAAAGAAGAAGACAUACAUGCUGUCUCAGGGUGAUCGUGGGUCUCUAGCCAGGAGUCAGAUGACAUCACCACCAUCACAAGCUGGUGAUGCCAGAGAGCAAGCAGUCACCGUCUAUGAACUAGAAAGCUGAUUCACCAGACACCGAAUCUGCCAGCACCUUGGUCUUGGACUUCCCAGCCUCCAGAACUAGGAAAUGUUCCAACACAUCUGAGGAAACACAUGCCUUCCCAGACUGGCCUGAUGCUGUUUCCCAGGAGCUGCAUUCUGGAAGGUGGACCAUCAGGUGGAAGAAGUAUUCUUCAGAGAGCUGCCUUCCCAAGGGAAUGGUGACAGCUUGCGCUUGCCGGGGAGUCCUGCUGCCUUCCGAGGUGUGAAGGGAAGGCAUGCACUGUGCAUAUGCUGUACCAUACAGUUUUGCCUACAACUGCUUGUAGCUUCAUUGUAGCUGUGAAUGCUCCGUUCCUCUCCUUUUCACCCCUGAAGAUUCGCGAACAUGCAGGAUUGAGCUGUGCGAGGCAUAGCAUUCCCCACAUGGUAGACGAAGGCGGAUGUGGGUCUGAUGGCUCUACCGCCGUCCACCCGGGCGGAUGGACGUGUGUUCCGGGAUAUCAGAGCUUGCGGCUGACCAGCCCACAUGUCCACGCAGCCCUCCCGCUGGCUGUGUCGACAUUUUGGGUGUCACUGAAGGAUUUUACCGGUGCAGACUUUACAAAGGCAAAAUUGUUUCUCAAGGAAGUGGACAUGAAAGAUCUAAAAUCAGGGCUGCUUGAAAAAAGCAAGCACAGAUUAAUGACCUAUCUACAUCCUACACGGUUUUAGGACUGCGCCUAGAUGGGCUUAAAGACCCUAGCCUAAAAACUGUAAAUGUGCUUCCGUCUUUGCCCUGUAGGACAAGAAAGCCUUACGGACUUGCUUCUAACUGUGAGAGGAGGAGAGGCCGGGAAGGGAGAGGGAGAAAAGGAGGAGAACAGGAGACGAGAAGGAGGGGAGAGUGAGGAGAGGAGGAGAGAGGCUUGUCAAAAUCUUUUUAGUGCACAAAACUAAUUUUGUUCAUCUUGGAUUUGGUGAGCUGGGUAAUAUUCUGUGCACGGCUCCUAAAUGAAUUAUUAAAUGUCAACUCAAGAUGGCUUAACUAAAAUACUCAAUUUAAUAACCAAAAGUAUCUAAGGUAACAACAACAAUUUUGCAGGUGAUUGUAGAGUUGUCAAGUCAAACCAUUAUAGACAAGCAUUUGGGGUUUUCACAUAAUCUCCUUCCACAUCUCAUCUUCUGUCACUAAAUACCCACUCUGGUGAGCAUAUUCCAUUUCAAUAAAGAUCAUUGCUUCGGUGCCAGCUUCUUUUUAUUCAGAUUGAGCCAGAAAACCUUUUUUUUUUUUUCUAAAAUAUAAAGCUAAACAAGAUCUCAGUCACAACCACCAAAUCUUUAUUAAUGCAUUCCUUGUGCUACUUCUGAAUAUUAAUAAAAAUUAAUAAUUAAUUUUGCCUUUGGCAUUGCAAGAUAUACUAGUUUUAAUUAGUGUACUGUACUCCUAUACAAUUAAAAAAUAAUUGAUGUCCAUG
rnacentral:lncRNA from 1 species